AGGCUCCCCCUUCACACACACUUCUUUACUCCCUCUCCACUACGCCUGCUCUCCCCACUGUUCCAACCAUUAAGAAACACAACCUGGAGAAAAACAAACAAAACAGGGAGAACGAAGAAGCAUAAAGGAGAACCUUGAGUACCCGAUUUUCCUAUCAGAAAAUCUAAUAGUUCUAUUUCAGGAUUUAUAAAAGAGCUGGAUACCUUUGUAGUGUCCCUUGAAGGCAUGUUCUUUUCCUGAUAUUUAAGUUUUUAUUUUUAAAAGCCUAUGACAAUGGAAUCCUUUGCUGGUGAGAAGCAUGAAGAGAGAAUUUCAAGGCUUUUGGAGUGAGGGUGGCCUAGGGGACAAGCACAGCAAGAGAACUGGUGAUAUUUUUAAGACUUGAAAGGAGAAAGUAGUUUCCCAGGCCUGAAAAAUUGAAGAGCCCAGACCAAUAUACUGGAAGUGAUGAAUCAACCAAGAAUUCUCUUGCAUUUAUUUCUUAUGAUCCUCAGUCUUUCCUAGAAGUCUGACAGUUCUUCAUUAUUCCCCUGUUUUGAUGACACUUUGAAAGAACCAGGGAAAUGGAAUGGAAUGGAAUGGAAUGGAAUGGAAUGGAAUGGGAUAGAAGAAAAUAUCUAAGAACUGUGGAAGAACCAGGACCAGCUCCUUAGGAGCUUUCUCAGAUCUCCCAGUGAAAACCUGACGGUGUUCCUGGAGGAAAAGCCUGAGAAGAUAUUAGGGGAUCCCCUCUACGUGCAACCUCUAGGAGCUUCUCACAGCCCAUAGUCUCUAUGCAACCUGGUAAUUCCUAAUGUACACUGCACAAAUGAUCCUUGAUUGGCAAUUCUUGCUCCAGAUCUUAGGAGGAAUAUGUGAACUGGUUAAAGUUCCAGAAAGCUUGAUACAAAUUCAGCAUAUUAGGGCAUGCCUCCCUGUUCUAUUGAUGUGACACAAUUAUGUACUAAGAACACUGAAGGUGAAGUUUGAUUAUGAAACACAUCUUUUGUGUCAACAUUUGAAAAGCAUAUGAAAGGUUAAAUAUCCUCCCCUCAAUAAAACACUGGAGAAACACAAA